rnacentral:rRNA from 1 species
UACGGAGGGUGCAAGCGUUAUCCGGAUUCACUGGGUUUAAAGGGUGCGUAGGUGGGUUGAUAAGUCAGUGGUGAAAUCCCCGAGCUUAACUUGGGAACUGCCAUUGAUACUAUUGAUCUUGAAUACCGUGGAGGUCAGCGGAAUAUGUCAUGUAGCGGUGAAAUGCUUAGAUAUGACAUAGAACACCAAUGGCGAAGGCAGCUGGCUACGCGAAUAUUGACACUGAUGCACGAAAGCGUGGGGAGCAAACAGG